rnacentral:ncRNA from 1 species
UGAAAAGCAAAGAAGAGGAAUAGUAGCUGUAAAGGAACUUACAGAGAGCCAUCGGUGGUGGAAGAUGGCAGGGACGAUGCAGUGAACUGGCCUUGGAGCCUCCGGCUGAAGUAUAUAGUAGGCUGAGACGGGUUCUCCCGUUACAGAGAUAAGCAUGGAAGUGCUGAUGAGUGCAUGGAAACAUGAAGUAGAGUGGUACCGCGCAGGAUUUUAUAUCUUUCGUCUCUAUU